rnacentral:lncRNA from 1 species
CGUGUAGCUGCAGCUCACGUCCAAAGUGGUUUGAACUCUGAAAUCUCAACACGAGGUAGAGACGAUAACGUCACCUCUCAGACAAUCACUGGUACAGCUGAUUAGCUGUCCUAAGUAAAGCAUCUAGAAAAGUGAACUUAAGUGGGACCAUUCGACUUCUUUUCUCAAAUCGCUGUAGUACGCUACUCUCAUCACCCAAUGGGAACCAUCAACACGGCUGGCUAGCCUAUCUUCAAAGAGGCAGUUUCAGGAGCAAAUGGAAGGGAAAUCAACUCUGUAGUUCUGUUCAGGACUACACGACGAACCAAGACAUUUACAUACGAUCCCGCAGGUGAAGAAGCCGGAUGAGGAGGUCCUGGGCUGGCAUGGUUACACAUGGACUGCGGUCGUGAGGACGUACUGCCAAAUUCUCUAAAAUGAUGUUGGAGGCAGCUUAUGGUAGGGAAACUAGCAUUCAAUUCUCUGACCACAGCUCUGGUGGACAUUCCUGCAGUCAGCAUGCCAAUUCCACUCUCCCGUGAAAUCUGUGGCAUUGUAUAGUGUGACAAAACUGCACAUUUUAGAGUAGCCUUUUAUUUCCCCUAACACAAGGUGCACCUGUGUAAUGAUCAUGCUGUUUAAUCAGCUUCUUGAUAUACCUCACCUGUCAAGUGGAUAGAUUAUCUUGGCAAAGGAAAAAUGUUCACUAAUAGGGAUGUAAAAAAAUGUGUGCACACAAUUUCAGAGAAAUAAGACUUUUAAUAAGAUCAUUUCUGGUAUCUUUAAUUUUAACAUGGGACCAAAAUGUACAUGUUGUGUUUUAUAUUUUUAUUCAGUAUAAUAUAACCAACUUUGAAAGCAACCACUCAAAAUCACCCAUAUUGUGCCAUGUUUUUGGAUUAUAACUUUGGUGAUAGAAGCACCAAAUUGCCACACAGCUAGAACAGGGUUUAAACACAUAUUUGUACACUGAACAAAGAUAACAUGUAAAGUGUUGGCCCCAUGUUUCAUGAGCUUAAAUAAAAGAUCCCAGAAAUGUUCCAUACGCACAAACAGUUUAUUUCUCUCAAAUUCUUUGCACAAUUUUGUUCCCAUCCCAUAGCCUACAUUGCAUAUGAAUUGUGACUGGAUCACGACAAUCGUGGAUGUACGUAGAAUACGCCCGAUUUUCCUUUAUGUCACUCCUGUUGGCUCCCUAAUUUGUGUGUUCAUUCUCUCUCACACUCAAUUCGUGCAAAUAUGUACAAGUAUUUCAGCAGAUUUUGUGUGUUUUUGUGUGUGUCACCUCCUGACCAGUAAAAGGGGUCAUUUGUCAUUGUAGUAUGGUCAGGGUGUGGCAGGGAGUGUUGUUUUUGUGUGUUUUGGGGUUAGUUUGUUUCAUGGGGAUUUGUUCUAGUUUUCAUUUUCUAUGUUCAUUUUCUAUGUGUGGCCGAGUAUGGUUACCAAUCAGAGGCAGGUGUCUUUCGUGGUCUCUGAUUGGAAGCCAUACUUAGGCAGCCUGUUUUUUCCUGUGGGUUGUGGGUGGUUGUUUUUCGUAUAGUCUAUGUUACCUUACGGAACUGUCAUGUGUUCAUGUUUCUCUAAUAAAAGAAGAUGAGCACUCAA